rnacentral:rRNA from 1 species
GUAGCUGGUCUGAGAGGAUGRCCAGCCACACUGGAACUGAGACACGGUCCAGACUCCUACGGGAGGCAGCAGUGGGGAAUAUUGGACAAUGGGGGCAACCCUGAUCCAGCAAUGCCGCGUGUGUGAAGAAGGCCUGAGGGUUGUAAAGCACUUUCAGUGGGGAGGAGGGUUGAUAGGUUAAGAGCUAAUUAAUUGGACGUUACCCACAGAAGAAGCACCGGCUAACUCCGUGCCAGCAGCCGCGGUAAUACGGAGGGUGCGAGCGUUAAUCGGAAUUACUGGGCGUAAAGGGUGCGUAGGUGGUUAAUUAAGUUAUCUGUGAAAUCCCUGGGCUUAACCUGGGCAGGUCAGAUAAUACUGAUUGACUCGAGUAUGG